UUUCCGUAGGUGAACCUGCGGAAGGAUCAUUAAAGAGUAAGGGUCUUCGGGCCCGAUCUCCAACCCUUUGUUUAACUACCAUGUUGCUUUGGCGGGCCCGUCUCACGACCGCCGGAAGUUUGGCUUCGACCAAACUUCUGGCCCGUGCCCGUCAGUGGCCCCUUCAAAUUCUUGAUCAAGUAUGAUGUCUUAGUUAAAAACUUAAUAGUUAAAGCUUUCAACAACGGAUCUCUUGGUUCUG
rnacentral:misc_RNA from 1 species